UACGUAGGGUGCAAGCGUUGUCCGGAAUUAUUGGGCGUAAAGAGCUCGUAGGCGGUCUGUCGCGUCGGCUGUGAAAUCCCGAGGCUCAACCUCGGGUCUGCAGUCGAUACGGGCAAACUGGAGUGUUGCAGGGGAGACUGGAAUUCCUGGUGUAGCGGUGAAAUGCGCAGAUAUCAGGAGGAACACCGGUGGCGAAGGCGGGUCUCUGGGCAACAACUGACGCUGAGGAGCGAAAGCAUGGGGAGCGAACAGG
rnacentral:rRNA from 1 species